rnacentral:lncRNA from 13 species
CUCUGGACUUUGGGACAGGAUCUAAGGUUGGCCAGGGCUGGGCGGAGCCAGAUAGGAGGGCGGAGUCAGGGAAGGCACCCCAGCCGCGAGUGUGGCCCAAAGGCAGACAGGGGGCGUGGCCAGAGUGGGCUGGAGGCGUGGCCGUCGGCGGGAUGGGAUCGGGAUCCCCAGAACCUGGCAGCUUCUUCUUCUCUCCCACCCUAGCCAGUUCUGUCGCCCAAAGCCCCACCCCCGCCCUAGCCCCUGGUCCAAUAGGCAGACAGAGCGACCGUCGGGAGGCUGCUGGUUCCACUUAACAGAGAUCGUUAUUUGGGAGGCCGCGCCCAGUUCUCUGGAACUGCCAGGCAUUGUUGGGCGGGGUGGGGGGAGCGCAUUCUCUGGGCCUGCGCUGCACCCCCCGGACGCCCACCCUCCACGUGCUUCCAUCCUUUUACAGGUAGACAGCUGGAGGGCCUGGGGCUUGAGCCCCGAGCUGGAGGAGCUAGUCAGGCGCUUGCGCCCUCCACGAGACCCCCCUUCCCUCCAGUCUGCGCUCAGGCCCAGAACUGGCUCUAAAAAUAGACCGAGGCGAAGGAAAGUGCCAUCCAGGAGGGGAUCAGGGAGGCCUGAGUCACCGUGUCGGGAGAGCCUUCUUUCUCUCCCCUCCGCCCCCCCACAUCCCACCUCGAGGGCUGAGGACGCCUGGAUGGCCGGGCAUCAUUUCGGCUCUGCUGGCCCGACUCUGCGCCCUUGGCCAGCGGUGCCUACCUCCCAGGCCGGGCGAGCGGUAGCAGCCACAGCCGGGAAGGAUUAGGAGUUCCUGGGCCUGAUUUAUUUGGUUGUUUUCGUGCGUCUGGCGGCGGCGCCCCCGCCUGGCAGGAUAGUCAUGUCUGCAUUGCCCUUCUCUCCCACCCAAGCUCAGGAGGCUGUCCUAGGCUUCAGGCUGGGGACCUGGGCUCACAGCAACACAAAGUCCCCACCUGGAUAUUAGCGGUUCUGGACAAACACUGUCAUUCUGUAGAUGAGAAAACUGAGUUCCAAAGGGAGGAAGAGGCCCAUGGCACGGCAGAGGGCCCCAUGACAGCUCUGGACUUCACUCAGCUUCUAGGGCCUGUUU